AGAUGUUAGGAUCUUCCUCUAGCUGCUCAAGGUAAGGGUCACAAAGACUCAAGCAAGAGGUAGAGAAGAUCAAUCAAUAGGAUGCACGAAGAAGAAGAAGGGACUGCCUCUCUCUCGGGUUCUAUCAAAACGGGAC